rnacentral:tRNA from 1 species
GUGGGUUUAGUUUAAUUAAAAUGUCUGUUUUGCAGGCAGUCGAUCUGGGUUUAAAUCCCGGAACCUACA